rnacentral:lncRNA from 1 species
CUUUCUUUCGAUGCCGACAGACUGUCAUACUCUUAUCCCUUGUUUGAGCAGGGGAGAAAAGGUAGGAAAAGGAAAGGAAAUCGGGGGAGGUCAAGAAAUUUAGGGUUCUUGGAUUAAGGUUUUCACAAUUUUAUAGAUUUUAUAAAAACUUUAUAGAUUUAUUUACGUUCUCUUAUUCAAUAUGCAUAUUAAAUCUAUAUUUGGUCUGUAUUGUAGUGUCAUUUGUGGUCCUUGAUUGUUAUAUCUCAGUGACCAAAAGCAAACCUGUUCUGUAGAUUUAGAAUACUCUUUUCAUAAUAGAUGGUGGAAAGCUCUGAAACUAUGAAAGAGUUUUUUAUUGUGAAAAAAGAAAAAGGAAAAAAAAAAGAAAAGCCACAGGAUUACCAGGAAUUUGGACAAGUGUUUCAGGAUGAUCAUACUGAAAAAGCAACGUGGCAAAGAAAGAAUCAAGGGUUGACCAGAGAUUAAGAAAUCUAUUACAUCAAAUUAAUGUAAUUGGAUCAAGAAAAGAAAUUAAAAUAAAGUCUGACCAAGAAUAAAUUAAUUAAUAUCAUAAGGAACAAGAUUAUCUUUUCUUGGUUUUAGUCUCCUGUUGGUGUUUCAUCUUCACAUGCAAAUAUAUCUUUAAAAAUCUGCAG